rnacentral:sRNA from 1 species
GCUGGGCAUGGUGGCGCAUGCCUGUAAUCCCAGCUACUCGGGAGGCUGAGGCAGGAGAAUUGCCUGAACCCAGGAGGCCGAGGCUGCGGUGAGCCGAGAUCGCGCCAUUGCACUCCAGCCUGGGUAACAAGAGCGAAACUCCGUCUCAA